UACGAAGGGGGCUAGCGUUGCUCGGAAUCACUGGGCGUAAAGGGUGCGUAGGCGGGUCUUUAAGUCAGGGGUGAAAUCCUGGAGCUCAACUCCAGAACUGCCUUUGAUACUGAGGAUCUUGAGUCCGGGAGAGGUGAGUGGAACUGCGAGUGUAGAGGUGAAAUUCGUAGAUAUUCGCAAGAACACCAGUGGCGAAGGCGGCUCACUGGCCCGGUACUGACGCUGUGGCACGAAAGCGUGGGGAGCAAACAGG
rnacentral:rRNA from 1 species